GCCUGACUGGCCCAGUAGGUGGAGCAUGAGACUCUUGAUCUUCGGGUUGUGAGUUUGAGUCUCACAUUGGGUG
rnacentral:tRNA from 1 species